UCUCCGUUGGUGAACCAGCGGAGGGAUCAUUACAGGAUCGAAAGACUCCUAUAACCCCUGUGAACUUACUACAAAUACGUUGCUUCGGCGGGUACCCCGGGUCUCCCGGGGCGUUCAGCCCGCCGGCAGCCUUCAAAUUCUGUUUCUUUGCGUUGGCAUCUCGAGUAUACAAAAAUAAGUUAAAACUUUCAACAACGGAUCUCUUGGUUCUACAUCGAUGAAGAACGCAGC
rnacentral:misc_RNA from 1 species